rnacentral:rRNA from 1 species
AUGCACGCUAGCUACAGGCUUAACCCAUGCCAGUCGAGGGGAAACGACAUCGAAAGCUUGCUUUUGAUGGGCGUCGACCGGCGCACGGGUGAGUAACGCGUAUCCAACCUGCCCAUCACUUGGGAAUAACCUUGCGAAAGUAAGACUAAUACCCAAUGAUAUCCCACGAAGGCAUCGGAAUGGGAUUAAAGAUUUAUCGGUGAUGGAUGGGGAUGCGUCUGAUUAGCUUGUUGGCGGGGUAACGGCCCACCAAGGCAACGAUCAGUAGGGGUUCUGAGAGGAAGGUCCCCCACAUUGGAACUGAGACACGGUCCAAACUCCUACGGGAGGCAGCAGUGAGGAAUAGUGGUCAAUGGGCGAGAGCCUGAACCAGCCAAGUAGCGUGCAGGAAGACGGCCCUAUGGGUUGUAAACUGCUUUUAUAAGGGAAUAAAGUGGGUCACGUGUGACUUUUUGCAUGUACCUUAUGAAUAAGGACCGGCUAAUUCCGUG